UGCGGUUGUAGCUUAAUGGUAGAGUUUAAGAAUGUGGCUCUUGAAGUGGCGAUUCAAUUCCGCCCAAUCGUAU
rnacentral:tRNA from 1 species